rnacentral:rRNA from 1 species
UAGGGAAUCUUCGGCAAUGGACGAAAGUCUGACCGAGCAACGCCGCGUGAGUGAAGAAGGUUUUCGGAUCGUAAAACUCUGUUGUUAGAGAAGAACAAGGACGUUAGUAACUGAACGUCCCCUGACGGUAUCUAACCAGAAAGCCACGGCUAACUACGUGCCAGCAGCCGCGGUAAUACGUAGUUGGCAAGCGUUGUCCGGAUUUAUUGGGCGUAAAGCGAGCGCAGGCGGUUUCUUAAGUCUGAUGUGAAAGCCCCCGGCUCAACCGGGGAGGGUCAUUGGAAACUGGGAGACUUGAGUGCAGAAGAGGAGGGUGGAAUUCCAUGUGUAGCGGUGAAAUGCGUAGAUAUAUGGAGGAACACCGGUGGCGAAGGCGGCUCUCUGGUCUGUAACUGACGCUGAGGCUCGAAAGCGUGGGGAGCAAAAAGG